GACAGAGGGUGCGACCGUUGUUCGGAAUUACUGGGCGUAAAGCGCGUGUAGGCGGCAACGCAAGUCGGGCGUGAAAUCCCACGGCUCAACCGUGGAAGUGCACUCGAAACUGCGUAGCUAGAGUCCUGGAGAGGAAGGUGGAAUGCUUGGUGUAGAGGUGAAAUUCGUAGAUAUCAAGCGGAACACCGGUGGCGAAGGCGGCCUUCUGGACAGUGACUGACGCUGAGACGCGAAAGCGUGGGGAGCGAACCGG
rnacentral:rRNA from 1 species